GCCAAAAGGUUACCGCAUAGAUGCUCAGGGUGCUUGCUCUAAUCUUCCCCUGGAUGUCUUUGGUACCUUCUCCCAGUGUCUUCCUAGUAACGCUUUCAAAGCAGCGACGGUAGAUAUUGGUCUCGGCGCCACUCCAAAAGCCCUCGACGUCUACGUGAUCCCAAUUGAUGACAACUCCUCGACAGAAGUACUGGUCAGCAAAGAAUCCAACAGCACCAUAGUCUAUUUGAGAAGAGACGUUUCUAAAGUUAAUGGGACGAGACUGACCCUCUUUGCUAACCCCACACUGAGCAUCCCAGAUCCAAGCAUCUUCAACGUCCCAUCAAGCUGCUAAUUCCAAAGAUGUUAUUUUCUUAAAUAUUUGUGUUCGGAACAUGUUGCAUGCAAAUAAAGCAAACAUAUAACAAAAAGGAA